UGAACAUUCCUAAAACCUGUCAGACUGUAAGAAGUGUGGCAAGCACCAACCCCACAAAGUGACAUAGUACAAGAAGAGCAAGGAUUCUCUGUAUGCCCAGGGAAAGCAGCAUUAUGACAGGAAGCAGAGUGGCUGUGGUGGGCAGACUAAGCCGAUUUUCCAGAAAAAGUCUAAAACUACCAAGAAGUUUGUGCUAAAGCUUGAGUGUGUUGAGCCCAGUGAAGAUCUAAGAGAAUCCUGGCUAUUAAAAGAUGCCAGCAUUUUGAACUGGGAGGAGAUAAGAAGAGAAAGGGCCAAGUGAUCCAGU
rnacentral:lncRNA from 1 species